rnacentral:rRNA from 1 species
AGAGUUUGAUCCUGGCUCAGGAUGAACGCUAGCGGCAGGCUUAAUACAUGCAAGUCGAGGGGCAGCGCAGUGUAGCAAUACAUGGGCGGCGACCGGCAAACGGGUGCGGAACACGUACAGAACCUUCCUUCGAGCGGGGAAUAGCCCAGAGAAAUUUGGAUUAAUACCCCAUAGUAUUGCAGAGUGGCAUCACUUUGCAAUUAAAGAUUUGUCACUUGAAGAUGGCUGUGCGGCUGAUUAGGUAGUUGGCGGGGUAACGGCCCACCAAGCCUGCGAUCAGUAACUGGUGUGAGAGCACGACCAGUCACACGGGCACUGAGACACGGGCCCGACUCCUACGGGAGGCAGCAGUAAGGAAUAUUGGUCAAUGGACGAAAGUCUGAACCAGCCAUGCCGCGUGGAGGAUGAAGGUCCUCUGGAUUGUAAACUUCUUUUGUCUGGGACGAAAAAAGGCUUUUCUAAGUCGUCUGACGGUACCAGAGAAUA